rnacentral:rRNA from 1 species
GUGAGGAAUAUUGGACAAUGGGCGAAAGCCUGAUGCAGCCAUGCCGCGUGAAUGAUGAAGGCCUUAGGGUUGUAAAAUUCUUUCGUCAGGGAUGAUAAUGACCGUACCUGAAGAAGAAGCCCCGGCUAACUUCGUGCCAGCAGCCGCGGUAAUACGAAGGGGGCUAGCGUUGUUCGGAAUUACUGGGCGUAAAGCGCACGUAGGCGGACUUUUAAGUCAGGUGUGAAAUCCCGGGGCUCAACCUCGGUACUGCAUUUGAAACUGGAAGUCUUGAGAGCAGGAGAGGUUAGCGGAAUACCGAGUGUAGAGGUGAAAUUCGUAGAUAUUCGGUGGAACACCAGUGGCGAAGGCGGCUAACUGGACUGAUACUGACGCUGAGGUGCGAAAGUGUGGGGAGCAAACAGGAUUAGAAACCCCGGUAGUCC